UACGUAGGGUGCGAGCGUUAAUCGGAAUCACUGGGCGUAAAGGGUGCGUAGGCGGGUUUUUAAGUCAGAGGUGAAAUCCUGGAGCUCAACUCCAGAACUGCCUUUGAUACUGAAAGUCUUGAGUAUGGGAGAGGUGAGUGGAACUGCGAGUGUAGAGGUGAAAUUCGUAGAUAUUCGCAAGAACACCAGUGGCGAAGGCGGCUCACUGGCCCAUAACUGACGCUGAGGCACGAAAGCGUGGGGAGCAAACAGG
rnacentral:rRNA from 1 species